UACGAAGGGGGCUAGCGUUGUUCGGAUUUACUGGGCGUAAAGCGCACGUAGGCGGAUCGUUAAGUCGGGGGUGAAAUCCUGGAGCUCAACUCCAGAACUGCCUUCGAUACUGGCGAUCUUGAGUCCGGAAGAGGUGAGUGGAACUCCUAGUGUAGAGGUGGAAUUCGUAGAUAUUAGGAAGAACACCGGUGGCGAAGGCGGCUCACUGGACCGGUACUGACGCUGAGGUGCGAAAGCGUGGGGAGCAAACAGG
rnacentral:rRNA from 1 species